AAGAGGUAGACCGUCGACCUGCUAACUCGACCCCCCCAAUCUGACCAUUUGGCCCUCUUC
rnacentral:tRNA from 1 species